rnacentral:lncRNA from 1 species
CUAUGCCCUAGGGCUAGUGGAAGACUUAAGAUGGCGGCGUUUGCACGGAGUGCAAUCACUGCGUCCUUACGGGGGUUGCAAGGCGUCCGAAGUAUGAGUCCAGUAACAAAAGGCCAGAAACUCGCCAGUUAAUAGUAUUGUGUCUCUUCAAAAUAUCGGAGAAUAAUUUCUUUCUCGCUGAUCGCCUAACUUCUACUGACGAAGCUAGGAAGUUGCAGAAGAUGGAGUUCGCUCUUGUUGCCCAGGCUGGAAUGCAAUGGCAUGACCUUGGCUCACUGCAACCUCUGCCUCCCCAGUUCAAGUGAUUCUCCUGCCUCAGCCUCCCGAGUAGCUGGGAUUAUAGGUACUGGCUCCUGUAUCACCCAGCUCUGGAGUUGAAAGAGCUCUUCAUUCCUGAGUCUCCUGUACCACUGAGAAUAGAAAUACAAAAAAAAUUCUAAAACUUGUAUGGAACUACAAAAGACAUUAAAUAAUCAAAGUAAUCUUGAGCAACAAGGACACA